rnacentral:lncRNA from 10 species
AAAACCCCAGAUAUGAAGACUAAUGACAAUGUAUGGUGGUGGUGCUAAGAGGACUCAGUAGUUCGGAAAAACCAAAGGCUCCAGGACCCCAUAGAAACUGUUAGAAGGGGGCCAACAUUGCCAUCAUGGGCUAAUGACUGUCACUGAGAGCCACAGAAACUAUGUAGUUGGGAAGGUGGAAAUUGCUGUGAUGUUGACUUUUGGUAGAAAGCUCAAAACAGAGAGGGGAUUCAAGUCAGUUGCAGCCAGUUCCCCACGUCAGCAUUUUUGAGCUCUCACUCUGCAUCAGAAUUAUAAAGGGAGCAUUUAAAAGAUACCAAUAACCUUGGGAGGCCAAGGCAAGCAGAUCAUGAGGUCAGGAGAUGGAGACCAUCCUGGCCAACGUGGUGAAACCCCA